GACGAACGCUGGCGGCGCGCUUAACACAUGCAAGUCGAACGGAAAGGCCUGCUUUCCCUUGUGGAUUGCGGGUACUCGAGUGGCGAACGGGUGAGUAACACGUGAGUGAUCUGCCCCCAACUUGGGUAUAAGCCUGGGAAACUGGGUCUAAUUCCCGAUAGGACUGCAGGGUGGUGCCUGUGGUGGAAAACGAUUUUCUAGUGGUUGGGGAUGAGCUCGCGGCCUAUCAGCUUGUUGGUGGGGUAAUGGCCUACCAAGGCGGCGACGGGUAGCCGGCCUGAGAGGGUGGACGGCCACAUUGGGACUGAGAUACGGCCCAGACUCCUACGGGAGGCAGCAGUGGGGAAUAUUGCACAAUGGGCGGAAGCCUGAUGCAGCGACGCCGCGUGGGGGAUGACGGCCUUCGGGUUGUAAACUCCUUUCGACCGCGAGGAAGCCACCUGGUUGGAAGAGUGGUGACGGUAGUGGUAGAAGAAGCACCGGCUAACUACGUG
rnacentral:rRNA from 1 species